CCAGACUCCUACGGGAGGCAGCAGUGAGGAAUAUUGGUCAAUGGACGCAAGUCUGAACCAGCCAUGCCGCGUGCAGGAAGACGGCUCUAUGAGUUGUAAACUGCUUUUGUACGAGGGUAAACGCAGAUACGUGUAUCUGUCUGAAAGUAUCGUACGAAUAAGGAUCGGCUAACUCCGUGCCAGCAGCCGCGGUAAUACGGAGGGUGCAAGCGUUGUCCGGAAUCAUUGGGCGUAAAGAGUUCGUAGGCGGUAUGUUAAGUCUGGUGUUAAAUGCAGAAGCUCAACUUCUGUUCGGCACUGGAUACUGGCAAACUAGAAUGCGGUAGAGGUAAAGGGAAUUCCUGGUGUAGCGGUGAAAUGCUUAGAUAUCAGGAGGAACAUCGGUGGCGUAAGCGCUGUACUGGGCCGUAAUUGACGCUGAGGAACGAAAGCCAGGGUAGCAAAUGGGAUUAGAUACCCGGGUACAU
rnacentral:rRNA from 1 species